GAGGAGAAUCUUUCUCUCCCUCCACGUUAUUCCCACCCCUUGGUGCAAACGCCACUGACCCUAACAGCCCCCGGGCUUGCCUUUGCCUUGAGCGAGAGUCCGCAGCAGGCAGGUUAUUAGAUGGCUCCAGGUGGUCAGCAUGAUUCAACCUGCAUAACAUAAAAUUAUCUACGGGACAUGUAGAAUAUUAAACAAAAUGCAGCAGUCACACUCGAACCUCACCCUGAAACCUUCCGCUUUGGGAGGAGUGAGUGGAUUUGCAUUUAGUGACCAACACAUGCAAUCUGCCAAGGGGAGAGUGCAGAAAAUGCCAGGGCUACUGCAACCCUCACACUACUGUACCAGCCACAGAGUGUCUCCACUACUUCUUCACAGCGUCGGUAGAGGAUUCCAUGCCCUCAGGUCCUAAGGGCACAAUCGGUUUACUUGAUAGAAGUCAAGGAAAUAGACCCUUUCAUUCAAUCAAGGCUGAUCAUACUUAGAAUUCAGAUGCUCUCUGUGCUUAUCAGACUACUUCAUGCAGUGUUCCUAUA